GAUGAAGAACGUAGCGAAAUGCGAUAAGUAGUGUGAAUUGCAGAAUUCAGUGAAUCAUCGAAUCUUUGAACGCAAGUUGCGCCCGAAGCCUUUUGGCCGAGGGCACGUCUGCCUGGGCGUCACGCAUCGCGUCGCCCUCCACAAUUCUCCGUAAAGGGAACAUGUGUUUUGGGGGCGGAUAUUGGUCUCCCGUGCUCAUGGCGUGGUUGGCCGAAAUAGGAGUCCUUUCGAUGGACGCACGAACUAGUGGUGGUCGUAAAAACCCUCGUCUUUUGUUUCGUGCUGUUGCUCGCAAGGUAAACUCUUUAAAAACCCCAAUGUGUCGUCUCUUGACGACGCUUCGACCGCGACCCCAGGUCAGGCGGGACUACCCGCUGAGUUUAAGCAUAUCAAUAAGCGGAGGA
rnacentral:misc_RNA from 1 species